GAGUUUGAUCAUGGCUCAGAUUGAACGCUGGCGGCAUGCCUUACACAUGCAAGUCGAACGGCAGCACGGGAGCUUGCUCCUGGUGGCGAGUGGCGAACGGGUGAGUAAUGCAUCGGAACGUAUCCUGGAGUGGGGGAUAACGUAGCGAAAGUUACGCUAAUACCGCAUAUUCUGUGAGCAGGAAAGCGGGGGACCUUCGGGGCCUCGCGCUCUUGGAGCGGCCGAUGUCGGAUUAGCUAGUUGGUGAGGUAAAGGCUCACCAAGGCGACGAUCCGUAGCAGGUCUGAGAGGAUGAUCUGCCACACUGGAACUGAGACACGGUCCAGACUCCUACGGGAGGCAGCAGUGGGGAAUUUUGGACAGUGGGGGCAACCCUGAUCCAGCCAUGCCGCGUGAGUGAAGAAGGCC
rnacentral:rRNA from 1 species